rnacentral:rRNA from 1 species
UGCAAGUCGAACGAGACCUUCGGGUCUAGUGGCGCACGGGUGCGUAACGCGUGGGAAUCUGCCCUUGGGUUCGGAAUAACAGCUGGAAACGACUGCUAAUACCGGAUGAUGACGUAAGUCCAAAGAUUUAUCGCCCAGGGAUGAGCCCGCGUAGGAUUAGCUAGUUGGUGAGGUAAAGGCUCACCAAGGCGACGAUCCUUAGCUGGUCUGAGAGGAUGAUCAGCCACACUGGGACCGAGACACGGCCCAGACUCCUACGGGAGGCAGCAGUGGGGAAUAUUGGACAAUGGGCGAAAGCCUGAUCCAGCAAUGCCGCGUGAGUGAUGAAGGCCUUAGGGUUGUAAAGCUCUUUUACCCGGGAUGAUAAUGACAGUACCGGGAGAAUAAGCUCCGGCUAACUCCGUGCCAGCAGCCGCGGUAAUACGGAGGGAGCUAGCGUUGUUCGGAAUUACUGGGCGUAAAGCGCACGUAGGCGGCGAUCUAAGUCAGAGGUGAAAGCCCGGGGCUCAACCCCGGAAUAGCCUUUGAGACUGGAUUGUUUGAAUCCAGGAGAGGUGAGUGGAAUUCCGAGUGUAGAGGUGAAAUUCGUAGAUAUUCGGAAGAACAUCAGUGGCGAAGGCGGCUCACUGGACUGGUAUUGACGCUGAGGUGCGAAAGC